GAGGGAUCUCUGUUAGCAAAGUGAAUUUGCUUCUCCUACCCAAGUUGGUGUUGAUACUGGUAUAAAACCAAAGGAGAAAGAUUGCUUAAGCAUGUAUGGAUGUAACCAUUGAGUUUGGAGUAAACCACAUGCUUAUGAGUUUAUGUUAUUAAGCUAAGCAUCUGAAUUGAACUCUGAAAAUAUGCAAAGGAAGAUCAAGUUGUUGCCAAAAGAUUUUUCAAUAAAUUGCUUCGAAGAAUCAGAAGUUUUGAGUUAUUCCAUGCACCCUCUCAAGUUGUUUGAAGCCUUUUUCAAGUUUGGGCAGAUAUUGAGGAGAAUCCCUAGAUAACUUCACAAUUACAAGUAAUUUUAUUCACUGACAGCUCUCCUGUCCCAAUGUUGAGAGAAAUUUGGAGUAAGCACAGAGGCGCUUUCUUCAGGCUGAGGCAUAGUGAUUUUAUUCUUGAGAAAGAAAAUGCCUCCUGUUGAAUCUUCUUGCUGCAUGAGCUUCUACAAAGGAUUGUGGUUCUUGAAACAAAGUUACUUGCUGGACUUCCAAAACAGGCGGAACACUCAGCUGACCGUCGUCACAGACCCCCUCAGCAUACAGCCGGUGAGUCCUGUGUAUCUAGUGAAUCCCAUCAGUUUAUACCAAGUGUAGAGCAACAAGCCGAAACUGAUUGUCACACUAAUCGAUGGCACAAACAGGGAGCGAGACCCAAAGGCACACAAGACAUCAGAUUGUCACGAGUUUCUAGUAUUGCUGCCGUAGCAUCCUCUACCCCAGAUUCGGAUAUGACAAAGCUUGUGAAUACUGGUAUUCUACCACCCCUUAUACAUCUUGAGAACAGAUUUGAAACAUUAAUGAAUGCGGGUGAG
ensembl:lncRNA